AUUGAACGCUGGCGGCAUGCCUUACACAUGCAAGUCGAACGGCAGCAUGAUCUAGCUUGCUAGAUUGAUGGCGAGUGGCGAACGGGUGAGUAAUACAUCGGAACGUGCCCUGUAGUGGGGGAUAACUAGUCGAAAGAUUAGCUAAUACCGCAUACGACCUGAGGGUGAAAGUGGGGGACCGCAAGGCCUCAUGCUAUAGGAGCGGCCGAUGUCUGAUUAGCUAGUUGGUGAGGUAAAGGCUCACCAAGGCGACGAUCAGUAGCUGGUCUGAGAGGACGAUCAGCCACACUGGGACUGAGACACGGCCCAGACUCCUACAGGAGGCAGCAGUGGGGAAUUUUGGACAAUGGGCGAAAGCCUGAUCCAGCAAUGCCGCGUGUGUGAAGAAGGCCUUCGGGUUGUAAAGCACUUUUGUCCGGAAAGAAAUGGCUCUGGUUAAUACCUGGGGUCGAUGACGGUACCGGAAGAAUAAGGACCGGCUAACUACGUG
rnacentral:rRNA from 1 species